rnacentral:rRNA from 1 species
GGUGCUAGCUUGCUAGAACUUAGAGACAGGUGCUGCACGGCUGUCGUCCGCUCGUGUCGUGAGAUGUUGGGUUAAGUCCCGCACCGAGCGCAACCCACCGAUUUAGUUGCUAACGGUUCGGCCGAGCACUCUAAAUAGACUGCCUUCGUAAGGAGGAGGAAGGUGUGGACGACGGCAAGUCAUCAUGGCCCUUAUGCCCAGGGCGACACACGUGCUACAAUGGCAUAUACAAUGAGACGCAAUACCGCGAG